ensembl:lncRNA
AUGAGAAUCUGUGACAGUGUUACCAUUUGGAGUGUCAAGCAUUUUAAGUGUUGGUGUCUGACCUGUGUUCUUCUUCCGAGGCAAAGCAGCAGUUGCGGGGCUUCAACGCUGUCUGUCUGGCUCCUGGCUGCUCACUACAGCUGGCUAAAAGUGUUAGCCUUCGUCCAGGCUUUCUUUAAGCGUUGCCGUGGCCUAAUCGUUGCUCGGCAAUCCCAUACUGAACCGUGUACUGUCAACCCUGUCACUUGUUUUGUGUGUGUGCGUGUGUUUGAGAGAGUACAGUGGGAGAAUUUAUUCCAUUCUUUGUGAUUAGUAGUUUAUGAUCUUUUCUUUAUUUUCUUUUGUAAUAAUUGGUCUCACUGCAACCUGUAAUUCUGAUUUGUUAGAUUUAUGGUUAUUUUGGUCUUUGCAGGUUGCAGGUGAAUUUCAUUUGAUGUAAAUCUUAAUUCUAUUUUAGUUGUAUCAAAUCUUAGAUGUAAGAUUAAGUCUUGGAUUUCUUGUUUGAUUCAUUGUAUUUAAUGUUAGUGUUCUCACCUGCUGUCCUCUGAUUUCCCCCAUUCAGGUGCUGAGCCUAUGGUGGUGGAUUGGUGUCCUGGUGGCGGUGUCCCUCUUGUGUUUUGCACUUUUUAGGUUGAUUUUGCUUCACUGUUAUUUACUUCACGUGUGGUGUUCCUGGGAUCCCCUUUGUUUUGGACCCAUCUCCCCCCACUAAGUCUCAGCCCUGAUUGGUCCCCAUUUUUGCCCCAGUGAGUGACUUCUUAAUACAUUUUUAAGACUAUUUGAACUAAAAUAAAUAAAUGUUUUGUACCCAGUUAUGUGGUCUCUGCCUCAUUGUGAAACGGACCUGAGUGCCUUAUUUUCAUUACAAGUUGUCCUUUAAAAGGUAAAAAGGUCCCUGGGUGAAACCCCCAGGGUGGCGUUGUUUGGCGUGAAAUGCCGUAAUAACUGAGUGCCGUCCAGAGCACGCACCUCGUGCCGCCACACACCCAUCAGCCUUUCUACGAACACUUUGCCCACGUCUCCCCCUGCUAUCUCCUCUAGUGUUGUGAGAGUUGGACUCGUGUGUGCUUUGUGCUUCGUGAACACUGCUGCGGCGCAUAGCUGCACCGCUGCCGCGGAUGGAGGCUACGUGACCGUCGCGGUGGAAAGAGUGAACACUAACGCUGACACCCAGCGCUAUUCUCACCACCACCGCUACUUCUGCCACAUCCAUUCGCUUCCCUACUGAUACUACGAGUUGGUGUAUCAUUUCCAUUCCCACCUAUUGGGCAAAGGAUCGUGUGUUAGUGCUUGUGCGCUUCCCUCGCUCUGCGCGGCACCGCCAUUGCUAUGCAAAGACGCACCGCGACUAGCAAGCUCACUAAUCAACCGACCGUCAUCUCCCAAAGCUAGAUUUUCCACUUCAGAAUCAGAAUCACCGAAUAGGAGCUCAAUCACUUCCCUAAGUGUCAACUUUUUGCAUGCCAUUGUCGUUUAUUUCGUCUCAAUAACUUCUGAAUCCAGCAAUACCCCUUCAGCAAAAUGGCUUCCUGGCGCACUGUCUCCGCUCUCUCACCCCACAGUUUGCAUGGGACUUCCUCGAACAUUUUGCAUUGAAGCAAGACGUUUUUAUGAGCUAAGGUCUAAGUAUAGGAUGUCUGCCAACUAGUGGUAGGGAGUAUGAACGACAUGUAACACUCUAGUGGGAGAAAACAGCUGUUUUGUUCAGUACCGUGGUGUGUCGCAAAUGUGCGACUCUGUCGCCUAAAGGGUUAAGCCACUUGCAGGACAUCAAGAUGUUUGCAGGGAUUGACCUUGAAGCAUGGUCGGCUGGGUUCAUGUCUGUGGGAAUUUGGUUCCGUUGUUCUGGUCGGGAUGACUCUCUGAUUCUCUGAACACGAUUGCUCACAAAGCAUAGAACCUUCUGGAUUUGUUGCGUAUUGUAACAGUCGGAGUUAUUGAAUGUAGCUCCACUAGGUGGCGCCUCCUUUUGUUAAGUGGAUAAUGUAACAUAUACCUAGAAGAAGAGUUGAUGUGCUUCCACUCCACCAUGCGUAGCAAUGCUGCCAGCGGAGUGAAGACCACCCUUUUAUCUUAUUUUAUAUUGUGAUGUAUAGGUGUAUGAUCCUCGGCCUAUGUGUGUCAAGGCAUGUAUGCGUGUGAUAACUAGUGCCGUAGCGACCUGGCUUGGUAUGGUCUGUAAG